AUCUGGCUGAAGAGUCCUAAGUAGGACGAGACCCGCGUCCUGGAU
rfam:Schistosoma mansoni strain Puerto Rico chromosome 1, complete genome